GGGUUGGGCAGUUUCUCCAGGCCCAGUGGUUCCAUUAGACCCAAGUAGACUGGAGCACAGUGGACUCUCGGGACUCACAGCGGACCCUCAGGGCUCACGGUGGACCCUCGGGGCUCAGAGUGGACCCUCAGGCCCUCACAGCAGACCCUUAGCACUCAUGGUGGACCCUCGGGCUCACGGCGGACCCUCAGGUGCUCAGAUACUUUGCACUUAGGAAAGGAGCUAUGCCUCUUGGUGGCCAGGUCACGUAGGAAAUGAGCCUAACCUGGAACCCGCCCCUUGACUACCUGACCUCUAGUACAGACAGGCGGCGAGUCGGCAGGUGAGUGGCAGCAGCCAGGCCCAAAGGGCCACUGACCACUGGCUGUCCCCUGGUGCAGAGAGGAAAACUGAGGCUCAGAGGGCGCAUGAGGCCAGGAAGUAGAGUCAGGUCCCACCGAGGGGCUUCUGCUGACCCAAGACCCUGUGGAGGGAACCUGGAAGUGGAGGGACCUGCAGGUGCCCCGUAUUCCCCCCAGGGGCUUGCCAUCUUCCUGCCCUCCCAGCGCCCAGGAGGCUGAGCCUUGGCAAGAUGGCAGCUUUUGCCUAAAUUGCAUCAAAGUGAGCAGAAAGAGUGGUGAGCAAAGUAGAAUCUGCUUGUUUCCGAGGAUCAGCGAGAAGGCACAUGUGAAGCUCACCCCGGUUCUGUCUGUUUCUGCUCUCGUACGAAGACCCCAUAUGGAGCCAGUGACAACCGGGGCCCGUGGGGAAGGCAGGACGAGGACUGGGCCACGCUGCUCAGCACAGGGUCAGCUGGCUGGACUAGGGUCGGCUGGCCAGGUGCGGAGUGGGCUGGUCAGGCGUGGGCUGGGCUGGUCAGGCGUGGGGAGGGCUGGUCAGGCGUGGGCUGGGCUGGUCAGGCGUGGGCUGGGCUGGUCAGGCGUGGGCUGGGCUGGUCAGGUGUGGGGUGGGGUGGUGAGGUGAGGGGUUGUCUGGUCAGGUGUGGAGUGGGCUGGUCAGGCGCGGGCUGGGCUGGUCAGGCGUGGGCUGGGCUGGUCAGGUGUGGGGUCGGCUAGUCAGGUGUGGGCUGGGCUGGGCUGGUCAGGUGUGGGCUGGGCUGGUCAGGUGUGGGGUCGGCUGGUCAGGCGUGGGCUGGGCUGGUCAGGUGUGGGCUGGGCUGGUCAGGUGUGG
rnacentral:lncRNA from 1 species